UAAAAUGGGAGGUAAAUUUCUCCUAAGGCUAAAUAUUGGCGAGAGACCGAUAGCGAACAAGUACCGUGAGGGAAAGAUGAAAAGAAUUUUGAAAAGAAAGUCAAAUAGUACGUGAAAUUGUUGAAAGGGAAACGAUUGAAGUCAGUCGUACCGCGAAAAAUCAACCUUUUAAGUAUGAUCUUGUUGGCGUUUGAGAGCUUAACAGUCUCUACGUUUUUCAAGUUUGUUUUUUUUUGGCGUAUUUUUUCGUAUGGUAGGUCAACGUCAAUUUCUGUCGUUAUAAAAUGACUGGAGUAAUGUAGCUUCGAUCUCGUAUUGAAGUAUUAUAGACUCUGGUAGAUGUAAUGAACGGGAUUGAGGAUUGCAACGAAUACCUUUUAGGCUAUUCGUCUGAUCUCUAAUUGUUGCCUUGGUACCGAAAGCUUGCUUAUGGUCAUUGAGGUGGAUGGUUAAAAGGUUAGAACGGAUUAAAUUCGUUAAGGAUGUUGGCGUAAUGGCUUUAAACGACCCGUCUUGAAACACGGACCAAGGAG
rnacentral:rRNA from 1 species